rnacentral:tRNA from 1 species
AGCUUAAUAGUCAAAGCAUUGGUGUGUAAAGCCAAAGGCCCCGGGUUCGAUUCCCGG